rnacentral:rRNA from 1 species
UGGGGAAUAUUGCACAAUGGGGGAAACCCUGAUGCAGCGACGCCGCGUGAGUGAAGAAGUAUCUCGGUAUGUAAAGCUCUAUCAGCAGGGAAGAAAAUGACGGUACCUGACUAAGAAGCCCCGGCUAACUACGUGCCAGCAGCCGCGGUAAUACGUAGGGGGCAAGCGUUAUCCGGAUUUACUGGGUGUAAAGGGAGCGUAGACGGCGCUGCAAGUCCGGAGUGAAAGCCCAUGGCUUAACCAUGGUACUGCUCUGGAAACUGUGGAGCUUGAGUGCGGGAGGGGCAGGCGGAAUUCCUAGUG